rnacentral:rRNA from 1 species
CCUACGGGAGGCUGCAGUGGGGAAUAUUGGACAAUGGGGGCAACCCUGAUCCGGCCAUGCCGCGUGUGUGAAGAAGGCCCUCGGGUUGUAAAGCACUUUCAGUGAGGAAGAACGCCUGGUGGUUAAUACCCAUCAGGAAAGACAUCACUCACAGAAGAAGCACCGGCUAACUCCGUGCCAGCAGCCGCGGUAAUACGGAGGGUGCGAGCGUUAAUCGGAAUUACUGGGCGUAAAGCGCGCGUAGGUGGCUUGAUAAGCCGGUUGUGAAAGCCCCGGGCUCAACCUGGGAACGGCAUCCGGAACUGUCAAGCUAGAGUGCAGGAGAGGAAGGUAGAAUUCCCGGUGUAGCGGUGAAAUGCGUAGAGAUCGGGAGGAAUACCAGUGGCGAAGGCGGCCUUCUGGACUGACACUGACACUGAGGUGCGAAAGCGUGGGUAGCAAACAGGAUUAGAUACCCGUGUAGUC